UACGUAGGUGACAAGCGUUGUCCGGAUUUACUGGGCGUAAAGAGCGCGCAGGCGGUCGAUCAAGUCGAGUGUGAAAGCCCCCGGCUCAACUGGGGAGCGUCAUUCGAAACUGGUCGACUCGAAGGCAGGAGAGGGUAGUGGAAUUCCCGGUGUAGUGGUGAAAUGCGUAGAGAUCGGGAGGAACACCAGUGGCGAAGGCGAGUACCUGGCCUGUUCUUGACGCUGAGGCGCGAAAGCUAGGGGAGCAAACGGG
rnacentral:rRNA from 1 species